AUAGAGGCAAUAAGCCACCUUAUGAAGUGUGGCAGCUAAUCUGUAGGGAUAGAUUCAGCCACCGUGCGAAUCUUGAGUGUAGUUGUUGCAGGUGCUGUAUUGACUCAUCCUGCGAGUACAAGCUAUGCCUAUCAUGCCUUCUUCAAUUCUAGCUUCAAUUCUAUCAGUUACAGCUUCGGUUUCCAUUUUUUUUUUUUUUAAAGUGUGCUAACAGGUCAUGUAUGUCCUGUUUGGUGACUGGUG